rnacentral:rRNA from 1 species
AGAAUCAACGCUGGCGGCGUGCCUAACACAUGCAAGUCGAACGCGAAAGCCCCGCAAGGGGUUAGUAGAGUGGCAAACGGGUGAGUAACACGUGGGUGACCUGCCUUAGAGUGGGGGGAUAACGUCCCGAAAGGGACGCUAAUACCGCAUAACAUCCUGCCUUUGAAGAGGUGGAGAUCAAAGCUGGGGACCGCAAGGCCUAGCGCUCAAAGGAGGGGCCCGCGCCUGAUUAGCUAGUUGGUGGGUAAUGGCUCACCAAGGCAACGAUCAGUA